UACGUAGGUGACAAGCGUUGUCCGGAUUUACUGGGCGUAAAGAGCGCGCAGGCGGUCGUUCAAGUCGCGUGUGAAAGCCCCCGGCUCAACUGGGGAGGGUCACGCGAUACUGAUCGACUCGAAGGCAGGAGAGGGAAGUGGAAUUCCCGGUGUAGUGGUGAAAUGCGUAGAUAUCGGGAGGAACACCAGUGGCGAAGGCAGGUCUCUGGGCCAUUACUGACACUGAGAAGCGAAAGCAUGGGGAGCGAACAGG
rnacentral:rRNA from 1 species